GUAUUGGGGUGGGCAAAAAGUUCAUUCAUGUCUUUACAUAAGAUGGUGUGGAAAAACCUGAACGAACUUUUUGGCCAACCCAAUA
rnacentral:miRNA from 1 species